rnacentral:rRNA from 1 species
GUAGGUGGCAAGCGUUGUCCGGAAUUAUUGGGCGUAAAGCGCGCGCAGGCGGUUUUUUAAGUCUGAUGUGAAAGCCCACGGCUCAACCGUGGAGGGUCAUUGGAAACUGGAGAACUUGAGUACAGAAGAGGAAAGCGGAAUUCCACGUGUAGCGGUGAAAUGCGUAGAGAUGUGGAGGAACACCAGUGGCGAAGGCGGCUUUCUGGUCUGUAACUGACGCUGAGGCGCGAAAGCGUGGGGAGCAAACAGGGAUUAGAUACCCUGGUAGUCCACGCCGUAAACGAUGAGUGCUAAGUGUUAGGGGGUUUCCCGCCCCUUAGUGCUGCAGCUAACGCAUUAAGCACCCCGCCUGGGGAGUACGGCCGCAAGGCUG